UUUUAUAUGGGAAGAUAAUGACGGUACCAUAUGAAUAAGCACCGGCUAACUCCGUGCCAGCAGCCGCGGUAAUACGGAGGGUGCAAGCGUUACUCGGAAUCACUGGGCGUAAAGCGCAUGCAGGCGGUCUAAUAAGUUGGAAGUGAAAGCCUAUGGCUCAACCAUAGAACUGCUUCCAAAACUGUUAGACUAGAGUCUGGGAGGGGAAGAUGGAAUUAGUAGUGUAGGGGUAAAAUCCGUAGAGAUUACUAGGAAUACCAAAAGCGAAGGCGAUCUUCUGGAACAGUACUGACGCUGAGAUGCGAAAGCGUGGGGAGCAAACAGGAUUAGAUACCCUGGUAGUCCACGCAGUAAACGAUGAAUGUUAGUCGUUGGUGUCCUAGAGACAUCAGUGAUGCAGUUAACACAUUAAACAUUCCGCCUGGGGAGUACGGUCGCAAGAUUAAAACUCAAAGGAAUAGACGGGGACCCGCACAAGUGGUGGAGCAUGUGGUUUAAUUCGAAGAUACGCGAAGAACCUUACCUAGCCUUGACAUAUUAUAGAAGACACCAGAGAUGGAGUUGUGCCUUCGGGAGCUAUAUUACAGGUGCUGCACGGCUGUCGUCAGCUCGUGUCGUGAGAUGUUGGGUUAAGUCCCGCAACGAGCGCAACCCUCGUCACUAGUUACUAACGAUUCGGUCGAGGACUCUAGUGAGACUGCCUUCGUAAGGAGGAGGAAGGUGAGGACGACGUCAAGUCAUCAUGGCCCUUACGGCUAGGGCAACACACGUGCUACAAUGGUUAGGACAAUGAGAGGCGAUACCGCGAGGUGGAGCAAAUCUAUAAACCUAAUCUCAGUUCGGAUUGUAGUCUGCAACUCGACUACAUGAAGCUGGAAUCACUAGUAAUCGUAGAUCAGCUAUGCUACGGUGAAUACGUUCCCGGGUCUUGCACACACCGCCCGUC
rnacentral:rRNA from 1 species